UGUGAAACAUAAGGCCUUCUUUCGAUAACUAAAAAGAGAGGGGGGGACUUGCUUUCGGCUCCUGCUAUCCCAAAAAGCUCUACCCGUUUUCAACACCCGAACACAACGCCGUCUGCGCAAAACCUCAAGCCUGAACUCCCAAGAAAGAGACGGAUGCACACAGAGGCAUGUCAAUCAAGCUUGUGUACAGUGGAACGAAAUGUCGUUUCUUCGGAGACCAUGGUGCAAGACAGAACAUAGCGUAAGACAA
rnacentral:lncRNA from 1 species